rnacentral:rRNA from 1 species
UCCAAUAAUUAAACAAUAUAAAUAAACAAAGUAAGCCUAACACCAAAAACUAAACCAUUCUUUUACCUGAGUAUGGGAGACAGAAAAGGUCCCACCAAAGCAAUAGAAACAGUACCGCAAGGGAAAGCUGAAAGAGAAAUGAAACAACCCAUAUAAGCACAAAAAAGCAAAGAUUAAAUCUUGUACCUUUUGCAUCAUGAUUUAGCCAGUACACCCAAGCAAAGAGACCUUUAGUUUGAAACCCCGAAACCAGGUGAGCUACCCCGAGACAGCCUAUUAAGGGCCAACCCGUCUCUGUGGCAAAAGAGUGGGAAGAGCUCCGGGUAGAAGUGACAGACCUACCGAACCUGGUGAUAGCUGGUUGCCUAAGAGAUGAAUAGAAGUUCAGCCUCGUACUCCCCAAAUCAAAGCACAAACAAGACAUUGAGAGAAAUACACGAGAGUUAGUUAAAGGGGGUACAGCCCCUUUAACAAAGGACACAACCUUUCCAGGAGGAUAAAGAUCAUAAUACAUAAAACACACCGUUCUAGUGGGCCUAAAAGCAGCCACCUAAACAGAAAGCGUUAAAGCUCAGACAGAAAAAAGUUUAUUAUCCUGACAAAAAAUCUUACUCCCCUAACUACUAUUAGGCCAACCCAUGCCUACAUGGAAGAGACUAUGCUAAAAUGAGUAACAAGAAGGCCCGCCCUUCUCCAAGCACAAGUGUAAGCCAAACCGGACCAACCAUUGGCAACUAACGAACUCAACCCCAGAGAGCAAUGUGAACUACAAAAAGACCAAGAAAAACCCACAACUUAACUAUCGUUACCCCCACACUGGAGUGCCAUUUAAAGGAAAGACUAAAAGAAAGGGAAGGAACUCGGCAAACACAAGCCUCGCCUGUUUACCAAAAACAUCGCCUCCUGCAACACAGCCAAGUAUAGGAGGUCCAGCCUGCCCAGUGACCACAAGUUUAACGGCCGCGGUAUCCUGACCGUGCAAAGGUAGCGCAAUCACUUGUCUUUUAAAUAGAGACCUGUAUGAAUGGCCAAACGAGGGCUUAACUGUCUCCCCUUUCAAGUCAGUGAAAUUGAUCUACCCGUGCAGAAGCGGU